UACGGGGGGAGCAAGCGUUGUUCGGAUUUACUGGGCGUAAAGGGCGCGUAGGCGGUCAGCACAAGUCAGUUGUGAAAUCUCCGGGCUUAACUCGGAAAGGUCAACUGAUACUGUGCGACUAGAGUGCAGAAGGGGCAACUGGAAUUCUUGGUGUAGCGGUGAAAUGCGUAGAUAUCAAGAGGAACACCUGCGGCGAAGGCGGGUUGCUGGGCUGACACUGACGCUGAGUGAGCGAAAGCCAGGGGAGCAAACGGG
rnacentral:rRNA from 1 species